GCGGUAUCGCCAAGUGGUAAGGCAUUGGAUUGCAAAUCCUUUA
rnacentral:tRNA from 1 species